rnacentral:misc_RNA from 1 species
GAUAUGGCUAUUCGUGUUACCUUCUCCUACUCUGGUUAUGUCGCCCAUAACAUUGCUACCUGCGCCGGCAUCCGGGUUGGAAAUUGCCGCCCCCUCCGCGAGUGUUGGGUUCGUUCACGCAUAUUCGGUUCUCCUCCCAUGCAAAACGCGGAUCUCGAACCUCCUGCACCGCGGACGCGCGACUUCCGAUCAGGAUACCGGCGCCCAAUCCAGAAGCCGAAUUCCUGGGUAAAGUGUUCGGUUUCGAUGAACAGUACUUUCACCGGAGAGAUAUUUGGAGAAAACUCUAAGAGUCCGAUUGCGGUCGGAUUGAUCUCGCUGAUGAAGUCAACGGUUGGGUUUUCAGCUUCUUCCGCCGUUUCGGGAAUUUCGCCAAUUAAAGCCGACUCGAUCCUUCCCUUUUUGCAGGGUUCUAGGUGGCUUCCUUGCAAUGAGCCGGCUCCUGGGCCGAAGAGUAGCGACGUGGAUAAAGGAGGGACGGUACGGUAUGUAAUGAAUGAGAGUAAUAGUACUGUGACGUUGGAGAUUAACGGGAAGGAGUUUGGCAAGGGCGGAAGCUGGUUAUCGAAAGUGUUCAGUUUUUGCUCGGAGGAU